GUCAUAAGAAUGGAGCCCUCAUAAAUAGGAUAAGUGACCUCAUAAUAGAGGCCCUGGGAAGCUCAUUUGCCCCUUCCACUAUGUGAAGACACAGCGAGGGGAUACAAUCUAUGAUCCAGAGAGAGGGCCUUCACCACAUACUCGACCUACCGAUGCCUUGAUCUUGGACUUCUCAGCUUCCAGAACUGUGAGAAUACAUUUCUGUUGUUUUUAGCCACCAUCUACGGUGUUUUGUUAUAGCAGCUCAGAUGGACUAAAGCACUCUAUUUAUGACUUUUUAAUUUCAUUUACACAUAAUGUCUAAUAUCGGGUCCCCAAAUUUUACUUUCAAUGAGGCUCAGGAAUAUGUUUGGAUUUAUAUAACUUCGUGCCUUUAGCCUGAACAACUUACAACCAAAGCAACCCAAACCCAUCCUGGCCCCACUCAGCCUUCAUGGGGCAGUGUGGUAGCUCCCAGGGUGUCUGGAAUUCUCACAACAUUUUAAAUAUAUAAUCCUUUGUUUACAAAGGCUAUGUGCUGCUCUUGCUGGGGAUUGUACCCAGCUGGUGAUUAUCCCUCAUUUAUCUUUGUUCUUACAUUUUUAUUAUUUUUUCUUUGUACUUUACAUCUGGUUCACAGACAAUCAAUGUUUACUGUUUAAAUGAACAAAUGUGUGAAAGAUGAUUGCCUCGAUUCACCUUUCCAGUAGUAAGAGCCACGGAUGGCUGCAUGAUCUCCUCUAUCUCAGUAGGUGUAGCACAUGUGAACUUACCUGCCAGGCCUGGAUCCAUAAUGAUGCCGGUGAAGGGUGAUUAGCCAAAAUGAAAAAGGAGAAUAAGGCAAAAUAGAACCAGAGAGAAUGACAGUUAAUGACAACAAGCCGACUACGUGGGAGGAAAGAAGGUACAAUGUUUAUUUCUCAAGCUCUUAUUAGUACUUUGUUGCAGGAACUAAUCUAUGUACCUUUCAACAUUAAUUUAAUUUUCCUAACAGCUCUAUGAGGUAAGCACUACUAUUUCUCCCACUGCUUAGGAGAAAUAGAGUUAAGAAUGCUGUGGCAUUCAGACAGGUGAAUGGACUCACCCAAGGUCACCUGCUGGAUAAGUGGUGAAACCAGAAUUUAACCCUGUCUCCCUAGCUCCAGGUGCCAAACCCUUGUCAUUAUGGCCUGCUGUCUCUCUAACAGGGCUUUGAGACCUCAAAUUUAAAAGGUGGGUAUUUCAGGCCUGGCGCAGAGGCUCACACCUGUAAUCCCAGCACUUUGGGAGGCCACGAGGUCAGGAGAUGGAGACCAUCCUGGCUAACUCGGUGAAACCCCAUCUCUACUAAAAACACAAACAAUUAGCCGGGCGUGGUGGCAGGCACCUGUAGUCCCAGCUACUUGGGAGGCUGAGGCAGGAGAAUGGCGUGAACCCGGGAGGCGGAGCUUGCAGUGAGCUGAGAUCCGGCCACUGCACUCCAGCCUGGGCGACAGAGCGAGACUCCAUCUAAAAAAAAAAAAAAAAAAAAAAAAAAGAAAGAAACAAAGAAAAAGGUGGGUUUUUCCAGGCAUAACCAAGAACUCUUUAGAGCUGAGUCCUGUACCAGAGUUUAUAUAAACACACUCUACUCUUCCAGAUCAUUAACAUGAACCAGACAGACUUGUAAUUAAUUUCUAUCCAUAUGGAGUUUUUCCAUAUUAU
rnacentral:lncRNA from 1 species